AUCGCUUCUCAGCCUUUUGACUAAGAUCAAGUAUAGUAUCUGUUCUUAUCAGUUUAAUAUCUGAUAUGUCCUCUAUCCGAGGACAAUAUAUUAAAUGGAUUUUUGGAAUUAGGAGAUGGAAUAGAAGCUUGCUCCAUCCACCCCACUCGUCGAUCUGGUAUUGCGAUACUUCCAGGAACUGUGCACCUGCU
ensembl:snRNA U2 U2 spliceosomal RNA